rnacentral:rRNA from 1 species
GAUGAACCUGCGGAAGGAUCAUUGUGGAAAUUGAACGGAAGAAUGACCCGCGAAUCGUCAUUGC